rnacentral:rRNA from 1 species
UGGGGAAUCUUGCACAAUGGGGGAAACCCUGAUGCAGCGACGCCGCGUGAACGAUGAAGCCCUUCGGGGUGUAAAGUUCUUUCGACAGGAACGAUAAUGACGGUACCUGGAGAAGAAGCUGCGGCUAACUACGUGCCAGCAGCCGCGGUAAUACGUAGGCAGCGAGAGUUGUUCGGAGUUACUGGGCGUAAAGAGUGCGUAGGCGGCGAGCCAAGUUUGGUGUGAAAUCUCCCGGCUUAACCGGGAGGGUGCGCCGAAAACUGGCUGGCUGGAGUAUGGGAGAGGAAAGCGGAAUUCCUGGUGUAGCGGUGAAAUGCGUAGAUAUCAGGAGGAACACCUGCGGUGUAGACAGCUUUCUGGACCAAAACUGACGCUGAGGCACGAAAGCGUGGGUAGCAAACA